UACGUCAGUGGCAGACGGGUGAGUAACGCGUGGGAACGUACCUUUUGGUUCGGAACAACUGAGGGAAACUUCAGCUAAUACCGGAUAAGCCCUUACGGGGAAAGAUUUAUCGCCGAAAGAUCGGCCCGCGUCUGAUUAGCUAGUUGGUGAGGUAAUGGCUCACCAAGGCGACGAUCAGUAGCUGGUCUGAGAGGAUGAUCAGCCACAUUGGGACUGAGACACGGCCCAAACUCCUACGGGAGGCAGCAGUGGGGAAUAUUGGACAAUGGGGGCAACCCUGAUCCAGCCAUGCCGCGUGAGUGAUGAAGGCCCUAGGGUUGUAAAGCUCUUUUGUGCGGGAAGAUAAUGACGGUACCGCAAGAAUAAGCCCCGGCUAACUUCGUGCCAGCAGCCGCGGUAAUACGAAGGGGGCUAGCGUUGCUCGGAAUCACUGGGCGUAAAGGGUGCGUAGGCGGGUUUCUAAGUCAGA
rnacentral:rRNA from 1 species